rnacentral:rRNA from 1 species
UACGUAGGGGGGCGAGCGUUGUCCGGAAUCAUUGGGCGUAAAGCGCGUGUAGGCGGCCCGGUAAGUCCGCUGUGAAAGUCCAGGGCUCAACCCUGGGAUGCCGGUGGAUACUGUCGGGCUCGAGUCCGGAAGAGCGAGUGGAAUUCCUGGUGUAGCGGUGAAAUGCGCAGAUAUCAGGAGGAGCACCAAUGGCGAAGGCGCUCGCUGGGACGUGACUGACGCUGAGACGCGAAAGCGUGGGGAGCAAACAGG